rnacentral:lncRNA from 1 species
GAUAAUUUACAAAUGAAAUAAACUUUUGAAAUUAAAAUGAGGACUAAUGGGAAAUGCGUGUGAACGUGCAAGGAUUAAAAACGCAAUUUUCCAAGUUUCUGAACGCACCAUGUAAACAUGGAUCAAAUCAAAACAGCGCAUAAGUUUCAGGAAAGAAUUAAAAAAACAAAGAAACAUAAAUGGGACCUAAUCUGAUGACGGCAAAACGAGGGGGUACCAAAUGCGCAAUUAACUCAAAUCAACUAAGUGCGCGGAUCCUCCCCAAGUCGGGUCGGUUCACGCGCGGGUUCCUCCAUGCCUUGAACGGCACCGUUUUGAAGCCAUUGAAAUUGGCCCAAAACGACGCCGUCUGAUUGACGUACAAAAGCUAGCAAAUCAGGUAAAAAAAACCUAAGUAUCUCUAGAUGCUCUCAACCUCUUCAUCCGAACGCCGAUUCCGGUGAAAAGAAGGCAAUUGUGGUAGCAACGGACAAGUUUCAAGUGAGAUUUUUGCUCUCUUUCCCCUUUCCCUUUUAUCAUUUCUACAUGCAGUGGAUAAAAAUCAAAGAAAUAGAAUCGAAAAUUAAAAAAUCGAGAUCUGGAAUCAUCUUCUAAAAAAAAUGAUCUAGGAUCCUUUCUCUUUUUUCAAUAUCCGUGUAUACGGAUUGAGGAAAUAGAAACAAAAAUCAAAGAAGAAAACGAUCUAAAAUCCCCUUAAAAACUGAUUUCGAAUUGAUUUUUCUUUCUUUCAAUAUGCGUGUGUAUUUCUGUGAAAAGAGAUCCCUUUUACAUUCGAUUUCAUUGGCUUUUAUAGCCGAAUAAAAAGAAUAAUAAUAAUUAAAAAUACAAAAAAGUUCCCUUAGAUCUAUUUGCUGUCAAUCUGCUGUGAGUUGUUUUCUGUUAUUUUCUUCUCGCAGGUUCGAUUGUACGGAGGAGAACGCUUGUGGGGAUGAUGUGGAUGAGGCUCGGAGGCUCUGCGGAACCGCUCGUGGGAGCCUGACUCCCUGGCGUUGUUCUGGCACGUUCCAGAAGCUUCUGGUGCGUGUGAACUUGGUGGCUUAGGGUUUCUUGAGUGUUUUUUUGUUUUGGGUCAGGAUUUGGGUUAGGGGUUUAUUUUAUUUUGGGCUAAAUAAUUGGGCUUGUAACAGGGACAUUGGACCUAAUUAUUUUAGUUUUAUUUUGGUUUUGGUUCUGGUGUAAGCCCGAGCAGAUUUGGGCCUAUACAGAACUGAUUAAACUAUAAUUUUUUAUUCAAUCAAGUGAUCUGAUCAAAUUCUGGCAACCAUGGCAAGAACUCUUCCUUCUAUCAUGAUUUUUGAAUGCUUCUUGUUGGUUUGGACAUCAAAGUCUAAGCCAUCAUCGUUUGGCAUAUUAAUUUAUAUAGGUUAAAUUUUGCUAUUAGCCAUUAUAUUUUAUGUAAGUUGUGGAUUUGAUCCCAAUAUUUUAAUUUGG